rnacentral:rRNA from 1 species
GGCCUGGCUGGGCGGUCCGCCUUCCGGGUGAGUACUGCCUGUGGUCGGGUCCUACCUUCUGGCGAAGCGUCAUGGCCUUAACCGGCCGUGGCGGGGAACCAGGACUUUUACUGUGAAAAAAUUAGAGUGUUCAAAGCAGGCACGCGCUUGAAUACAUUAGCAUGGAAUAAUGGAAUAGGACAGUGGUUCUAUUUGUUGGUUUCUAGGACCGUUGUA